rnacentral:rRNA from 1 species
GUGGGGAAUUUUGGACAAUGGGCGCAAGCCUGAUCCAGCAAUGCCGCGUGCAGGAAGAAGGCCUUCGGGUUGUAAACUGCUUUUGUACGGAACGAAAAGGCUCUGGUUAAUACCUGGGGCUCAUGACGGUACCGUAAGAAUAAGCACCGGCUAACUACGUGCCAGCAGCCGCGGUAAUACGUAGGGUGCAAGCGUUAAUCGGAAUUACUGGGCGUAAAGCGUGCGCAGGCGGUUUUGUAAGACAGACGUGAAAUCCCCGGGCUCAACCUGGGAAUGGCGUUUGUGACUGCAAAGCUGGAGUGCGGCAGAGGGGGAUGGAAUUCCGCGUGUAGCAGUGAAAUGCGUAGAUAUGCGGAGGAACACCGAUGGCGAAGGCAAUCCCCUGGGCCUGCACUGACGCUCAUGCGCGAAAGCGUGGGGAGCAAACAGGAUUAGAAACCCCGGUAGUCC